AUUGAACGCUGGCGACAGGCCUAACACAUGCAAGUCGGACGGUAGCACAGAGAGCUUGCUCUUGGGUGACGAGUGGCGGACGGGUGAGUAAUGUCUGGGGAUCUGCCCGAUAGAGGGGGGUAACCACUGGAAACGGUGGCUAAUACCGCAUAACGUCGCAAGACCAAAGAGGGGGACCUUCGGGCCUCUCACUAUCGGAUGAACCCAGAUGGGAUUAGCUAGUAGGCGGGGUAAUGGCCCACCUAGGCGACGAUCCCUAGCUGGUCUGAGAGGAUGACCAGCCACACUGGAACUGAGACACGGUCCAGACUCCUACGGGAGGCAGCAGUGGGGAAUAUUGCACAAUGGGCGCAAGCCUGAUGCAGCCAUGCCGCGUGUAUGAAGAAGGCCUUCGGGUUGUAAAGUACUUUCAGCGGGGAGGAAGGCGGUGAGGUUAAUAACCUUGCCGAUUGACGUUACCCGCAGAAGAAGCACCGGCUAACUCCGUGCCAGCAGCCGCCGUAA
rnacentral:rRNA from 1 species